rnacentral:rRNA from 1 species
UACGAAGGGUGCAAACGUUGCUCGGAAUUAUUGGGCGUAAAGCGCACGUAGGCGGCUUGGCAAGUCGGAUGUGAAAUCCCUCGGCUCAACCAAGGAAGUGCAUCCGAAACUGCUGAGCUUGAGUACUUAAGAGGAUCGCGGAAUUCCCGGUGUAGAGGUGAAAUUCGUAGAUAUCGGGAGGAACACCUGUGGCGAAAGCGGCGCACUGGACCACAACUGACGCUGAGGCGCGAAAGCUAGGGGAGCAAACAGG